UUUUGGACAAUGGGCGAAAGCCUGAUCCAGCAAUGCCGCGUGGGGGAAGAAGGCCUUCGGGUUGUAAACCACUUUUGUACGGAACGAAAAGGUCUGCCCCAAUACGGUGGGCCCAUGACGGUACCGUAAGAAUAAGCCCGGCUAACUACGUGCCAGCAGCCGCGGUAAUACGUAGGGUGCGAGCGUUAAUCGGAAUUACUGGGCGUAAAGCGUGCGCAGGCGGUUAUAUAAGACAGUUGUGAAAUCCCCGGGCUCAACCUGGGAAUUGCAUCUGUGACUGUAUAGCUAGAGUACGGUAGAGGGGGAUGGAAUUCCGCGUGUAGCAGUGAAAUGCGUAGAUAUGCGGAGGAACACCGAUGGCGAAGGCAAUCCCCUGGACCUGUACUGACGCUCAUGCACGAAG
rnacentral:rRNA from 1 species